rnacentral:tRNA from 2 species
GCCGGUUUCGUGAGGUUUUGAACGCACUCGUAAUGCGUAGGUCCGGGGUUCAAAUCCCCGAGGCGGCUCCA